rnacentral:rRNA from 1 species
UACAGAGGGCGCGAGCGUUGUCCGGAAUCACUGGGCGUAAAGGGCGCGUAGGUGGCGGCAUAAGGCCGUGGUGAAAGUCUGGGGCUCAACCCCAGAUCGGCCAUGGAGACUGUGUCGCUAGGGUACUGUAGAGGCAGGUGGAAUUCCACGUGUAGCGGUGAAAUGCGUAGAGAUGUGGAGGAACACCAGUGGCGAAGGCGGCUUCUUGGCCUGUUCUUGACGCUGAGGCGCGAAAGCUGGGGGAGCAAACGGG